UUUUUUCUUUUUAAGCAAUAAUUUAUCCACAAUCAAACCAAAAUUAACCAUACCAGUUUCUUUAUUUAUCAGGGUCCUGUUGUACCAGUACAACCUUGUUCAUCCAUCUUCAGGUGGAAUUUGAAGCCAAAAAACACUUUAAUUACAUGUGCCAAUAAGAAAAUUGCAACAAUUACACACAAUCACUAGAUACUAUCUCGACAUUCAUCCUUUUCACUUAUGCUGAUUCCUGAGACAUUUCAGUUCAGAUACACUAGAUUCUACUGUAAUGUGCCCAGCAAAUGUGGUGGUUUUUAAUUUUUAUUUUCUUUUAAUUUCUGUGGGAUGAGACUCUCUUUUUGCAGUUUCACACACCAGUGUCACCUCAAAGCUUGGAAAGAGAGCAGAGAGAGAUUAUGCUUGAAAAGAAUGAUCUUCAAUAACACUUUAUUUGUAGAUGCACUUUCUGUAGAUAAAGAGGUUGUGAUAUAUUUUAUUUUCAAAAUCUCUAGUAAGCAAUUAAAUUAUUUUACAAAAAAUGAUUACAGUUAUUUAUUUUUAGAUAUAAAAUUAGAACCUAUUCUCUUUGCUUUCUGUAUAUAUGAUGUAUAAGCAAGAUUAGCUGAGGGAAAGGCUGAAGAAUGCAGCACAUAACUAAUGCUUUGGUGAAUGAAUGACUGUCAUGGCUUAUUAUUCCUUGGAGAACCAAGAGGUCUGCUGGGAGAAAUGAGGAGUUUGUGUAAUAAGCUGCAGUUGUCACAUCCUUGUAUCUUUGAUGGAGGAUUUAGAGAAUCAAAUUAAACUGACUCACUGAUAUUUACUUGGACUGUAACACAGAACUAUUCAGCAUUUUAUAUUUCAUGUGUUUUGGGGGGAAAUAUUCGCAGUUAGAGAAAGAAAAAGGACGACAAGCAACACAGGUCCUGACCUGGACUCUAAUCAGGGAUGCUGCAGUUACACACUCAGCAUAUUAAAGUCCGACUCUUGGCUCUGACACCGGCCACCAGAUGCUACCCGUCAUAAAAUCUGUGAAUAAAGUACUGAAUAUAUUAAAAUAUCUGAUCCAUUUACGGAUUCAUUUAAUCAUAUUCAAAAUAUAUAAAUGGCAACAUCUUGUUAAAUAUCAAUUCACAAACCAUUUCCAAUGAUUUUUCCUCCCCGUCUCCUCUUCUGCUUAAGUGACUUUAAAGCAAAGUGCACAACUGAACUAUCAGUGUAGUAUCACAUGCAGUAAGUACCUCCUCCAUGACCCGUAUGAAAGUUUUGUCCGGUGUGUUUGCUGUCAUGUAAUUCUGCUUUGAUUCUUUCAGACUUCUGAAUGUGAGUAGUCUAUGUGCAUCUGAGGACCCAUAGAUAAAUAAAUAAAUGGCAUGACUAAAAUAUUAUUCAUUGUGUAAAUAUAUAUUAAGAAUCACAUGGGUGGGUGCAAAUAAAAAUCAAUGCUGUGUAAAUUACGGAGGGGAGGGGGGGAAAUGGACUAAACCAAAUUGUAAAAUCACUGUUGAACAUCCAGCGGUAAAGGAUUGUAAAUGUGCUGUAACAAAAUAAUUUAAUUAUUAGGAGUUGUUCAAGUUAUUUUAAUGAGCAUUAUGUGUCUUAAGCUUGACUUUCAACUCAUUAAUGUAGAUGUGAAUGUAUGGUGAAUAUACAGUAAAAAGCCUUCAGUGUACUGUAGGUUGACUGCAUAUAAAUGUGACCAGGAGGGAUCAUAAAUUUAGAUGGAUGUGAGUAUAAAUAUAUGUGCAGUACAUGUGUGCCUGUCAUAGAAUACAUUGCAGUUUCCUGUUGUGCUGUCAUUUUUUACCUUUGACUAACAUCCAACUUAAAACAGACCUUUUCAGAGUCAGUAAUGAGGCAUAAGCUGUCGAAAAAAGCACUGUUUCCGGGUCCCAUUUAUUUCUAUUGCCCUUCCCACUUCAUUUUUUUGUGUAGAUACAAGUGGAAUCUGUGCACUGUGUGAGGCUGUGUCCCUCUAAUGAAUAUAACACAAAACCUGAGUCUGUUUCAAGGACAAGGUGACAGCAGAGGAAAAUAAUGUGAGACAGGAAGGAGUGGGAGGCUUUCAGGGAGAAGAGCUCCUGUACUGCAGUAACCUUAAUCCUAUAGUCUUGGAGCCAUAGUAAAGAGCGAUGCCUUGUCUCUUCAACCACUGAAUGAUUAGUCUUGAGUAAAAUAAAUCUACAUGUUUUAUAUGUAUAUGUAAUUUAAUUUUUGAAUAUGGACAAAUGGAAAAUAAAUAACUACAGCUGAAAUGGAGGAAUGUGGUUUGAGUUAUUGCAUUGCUACUAUUGCAGAGAAAACAACAGUACUCUCCCUAAGUUUUUAUGCAUAUGAACGUAUUUAAGAAGUUGUGCCACUAGGAGGCAGCAGAGUCAAAAUCCUCUCCAUCACAUUCUGCCCAGGAGGAAUUUGUCCUCCCUAAUAUUCAUCUGAAUCCAAAAUUAUUACAUCAUUGUAAAAAACAAACAAAAAAAAAAAACAAUAGUUCCACCCUUGAGAUCCUGCGAAACACACACAUGAGGUGUUUCACCUUCCUCCCGACCUCCAUUUUCAUUAGACCAUCCUCUCCCUCCCUGUGCC
ensembl:lncRNA